rnacentral:rRNA from 1 species
AUGGCCGUACCAUGCUGAAUAUACCGGUUCUCGUUUGAUCACCGAAGUUAAGCAUCAUUGGGCGCGGUCAGUACUUGGGUGGGUGACCACCUGGGAACACCGCGUGCCGUU